UAUAGAAAUGGUGGGGCUAACAAACAGUUCAAAAUGAAUGCAAUCAGAGCGAGAUCUAAGGGACAAUACGAUUUAAUGAUUAAUCAGCGUCACCAGGCCGAUUCUGAUUGGACUCUGGGGCUCGGUGAGGCUGCACACCUGUUGCACAUUGAGUAAUCAGUGUGCACAGGUUAAACCAGCCAUCUCCACACACAGUGUAGUAAAGUCCCUGCUGCCUAUGCCACACACCUGACUCCGCCUAGGUGGAUUUUCUUUGGCUCACCCAAACAAAGGAUACGGGUGGUGAUGUUAAAGCCGUCUUAUUUUGAAUUUUGCAGGUAAUGCACAUGGAAAGGGUGCUCUAUUGCCAUGCAGGAUAUCUCCCUGAGUAUGGGUGGAGAUGGCUGGUUUAACCUGUGCACACUGAUUACUCAAUGUGCAACCAGUCUGCAGCCUCACCCAGCCUCGGAAUCCAAUCAAACCCAGCCAGAUCCACAAGAUGAAGUUCCCAUCAGCGUCUCCUGUUGAUUGAGACCAACUCCUGCAACUCUAAAUGGACCUUAGACACACUCGGUUGUUCUGCUCAAAAGAAUAGCAUUUGUGUUCCAAAGGGUGGCCAAGCAGAAAAUUAAUUAAUUAAGUCAUAGCUGAAGUCGGCUACUUCAGGGAGUUGCUUCCCGGUAAGAUCUGAAAAUAAAGAAAUGAUUCACAUCAGUAAUGCAAUUCAUUGAUUGUCAUGAAUUAUAAGUGUCACAACCAGGAAGAUAAGAUAUUUGUCAACAAUUUUAUUGUUAGCCAGUUAUUAAAUAAUAGUUAUUAGUUAUAUAUGAAUAGAGCUGUUGACUGUAAAGGAACAGACAUAGUAAACAAAUGUCUUUAAAAAGAAAUGCAUGGCCUGCAUUGUGUAAGACAGAAUUGAUACCUCACCUUUAAAUAAGGAGAAAGAAGAACAACAAAAAUAAGCUGCCUCUCCCCAUUGUUGAAACCAGACAAAAGUAACUGAAUGCUGAUGCAGAAUUUAACUCGUGUUAUUUGCUUAAAAUUGUAAGCUUAUUUAAGCAAAGCCAAUGGCUACACACACCACCUAGUUGGCUGCCAUACUCCACAAAAGUGACUUAUAUUGGACUCCUCCAGACAAAGGUCACGGGUUGGUGAUGUUGAAUCCGUUUUUAUUUUAUUAGUUUGCACGAAAUUAUACAUGUCCUGGUGUUACAUGUUGCCAUCUAGGAGAAGUGUGUGUGUGGAUAUGGCUGGUUUAACCUGUGCACACUGAUACUCAAUGUGCAACAGUUGUGCAGCGUCACCCAGACCAAGAGUCCAAUCAGACUCAGCCAGGUAGGUGCUGCCCAAACCACCCAUUAUCCACACCCAGUCCCACACUUGUACAUCCCUGGAAGUAUGGAAAUCCUAAUAUUUAUUUAGUCCACUUUUCAAAUUGAUUUUUCACAUUUUAAUUAAUGAUUAAGACGGAUAGCUUAAAAGAUAAAAACAUUGGUACUGUAUGUACCAAUGUUGUAACAAGUACCACAAUAAUUAUUUUAUCAGUAUAGUAUGGAAUAAAAAAUACCAGUACAUAAACAUUACACAGAAUUUGUCAAUACAUAACAGACAUGAAAAUACAGAGUGGUUUAAGUAGCAUAUUGGGUGUCCUAUUGGCUUAAUAACUUGCAUAUUAAUGCUCAAACGUUCAAUGAACCAAGCACCACGUAUAAAAGUGAAAAAGGGCUUAAACCUCAAUACCAAAAUAACAG